rnacentral:rRNA from 1 species
UACGGAGGGUGCAAGCGUUAUCCGGAUUCACUGGGUUUAAAGGGUGCGUAGGCGGCUUUGCAAGUCGGGUGUGAAAUCCCCAGGCUUAACCUGGGAACUGCAUUCGAGACUGCAUUGCUAGAGUAUGGGAGAGGGAAGUGGAAUUUCCGGUGUAGCGGUGAAAUGCGUAGAUAUCGGAAGGAACAUCAGUGGCGAAAGCGACUUCCUGGACCAAUACUGACGCUCAUGUGCGAAAGCGUGGGGAGCAAACAGG